AACGAACGCUGGCGGCAUGCCUAACACAUGCAAGUCGAACGAGACCUUCGGGUCUAGUGGCGCACGGGUGCGUAACGCGUGGGAACCUGCCCUUAGGUUCGGAAUAACUCCCCGAAAGGGGUGUUAAUACCGGAUAAUGUCUUCGGACCAAAGAUUUAUCGCCUUUGGAUGGGCCCGCGUUGGAUUCGCUAGUUGGUAGGGUAAAAGCCUACCAAGGCGACGAUCCAUAGCUGGUCUGAGAGGAUGAUCAGCCACACUGGGACUGAGACACGGCCCAGACUCCUACGGGAGGCAGCAGUGGGGAAUAUUGGACAAUGAGCGAAAGCCUGAUCCAGCAAUGCCGCGUGAGUGAUGAAGGCCUUAGGGUUGUAAAGCUCUUUUACCCGGGAUGAUAAUGACAGUACCGGGAGAAUAAGCUCCGGCUAACUCCGUG
rnacentral:rRNA from 1 species